rnacentral:rRNA from 1 species
UACAGAGGUCCCGAGCGUUGUUCGGAUUCACUGGGCGUAAAGGGUGCGUAGGUGGCGGGGAAAGUUUGAUGUGAAAUCUCCGGGCUUAACCCGGAAAUGGCAUUGAAUACUAUUCCGCUUGGAGGGUUGGAGGGGGGACUGGAAUUCUCGGUGUAGCAGUGAAAUGCGUAGAUAUCGAGAGGAACACCAGUGGCGAAGGCGGGUCUCUGGGCAGUAACUGACGCUGAGGAGCGAAAGCGUGGGGAGCGAACAGG